rfam:Heterocephalus glaber contig87064, whole genome shotgun sequence.
GCGGAUGUAGCUCAGUGGUAGAGCAUCUGCCUAGCAAGUAUGAGGCUCUGGGUUCAAUUCCCAGUACUAGGA